rnacentral:rRNA from 1 species
AUACUGGGGGAUAACAGCCAGAAAUGGCUGCUAAUACCGCAUAAGCGCACGGCGCCGCAUGGCGCAGUGUGAAAAACUCCGGUGGUAUAAGAUGGAUCCGCGCCUGAUUAGCUAGUUGGCGGGGCAGCGGCCCACCAAGGCGACGAUCAGUAGCCGGCCUGAGAGGGCGACCGGCCACAUUGGGACUGAGACACGGCCCAAACUCCUACGGGAGGCAGCAGUGGGGAAUAUUGCACAAUGGGGGGAACCCUGAUGCAGCGACGCCGCGUGAGUGAAGAAGUAUUUCGGUAUGUAAAGCUCUAUCAGCAGGGAAGAAAAUGACGGUACCUGACUAAGAAGCCCCGGCUAACUACGUGCCAGCAGCCGCGGUAAUACGUAGGGGGCAAGCGUUAUCCGGAUUUACUGGGUGUAAAGGGAGCGUAGACGGCAGCGCAAGUCUGGAGUGAAAUCCCAUGGCUUAACCAUGGAACUGCUUUGGAAACUGUGCAGCUGGAGUGCAGGAGAGGUAAGCGGAAUUCCUAGUGUAGCGGUGAAAUGCGUAGAUAUUAGGAGGAACACCAGUGGCGAAGGCGGCUUACUGGACGGUAACUGACGUUGAGGCUCGAAAGCGUGGGGAGCAAACAGGAUUAGAUACCCUGGUAGUCCACGCGGUAAACGAUGAAUGCUAGGUGU